AGUCUGAGAGCGAAAGGCAAUUUCUUGGAGUAUGUGAAAGAAGAGUCUGCCUAAUGAAGCAGACAGUGAGGUGAUCUCUGGCUGAAAGAACAGCAUGUGUAAAGGCUCAGAGGUAUGGUAGAGCAAGACCCAUUCAUGUAAGGGCAAAUACUUAUUUACAGGAGGGUUGAGAGUGCUAAUAAGCAUGGAAGAAAGUUGGGGGGUCAGAAGUCAAGUAGAAGAGGGGAGUCCAUGAGGAAUGGCCCAUGAAUUGUGGGGAGAAGUCAGAAAAAAGAAAUAUGGGUGUCCCAGGACCCAUUAGGGAGUCUAUCUUAAUUUCCACUGCUCCAGAACUGAGCUGGGUGGGUCCUCUAUCCACUCCAGUAGUUGUCUCCCAGGUACAGAAUAGAAACCUUCCUCCCUUCCACACACACACACACACACACACACCGUCUAUUACACACGCUGCCUUUAUGGUCCUGCAGUAGUGUUCGCACGCCCUCUAGUGGAAACCUUGAGUACUACACCAAAAGUGCAGGAAACUGCCCUCGGGAUGGGGGCCACAUCCCUUCAGAAACUUCCCAUCCCAGGGUUAGAGGUACAACACAGUUCCUUUUUUCAGAGAGCACAUAGUUUAAUGGUAAUGAGGAUUCAUGGGUCUGACAUAGAAAAUAACAAUGUAGGACAUGCAGGAGAACAGGGGAGGGUCCCAACUCAACUGGACAAAGGAAAUCUGGAAGGCUUCUCAGAGGAAGACCAAAAAAAAAAGCAAGAAUUUUCUUUUUGGGGGGUGUGGGGGGGUACCAGGGAUUGAACUCAGGCACUCAACCACUGAGCCACAUCCCCAGCCCCAUUUUGUAUUAUAUUAGAGAUGGUGUCACUGAGUUGCUUAGUGUCUCCCCCUUGCUGAUCCUGGCUUUGAACUCGUGAUCCUCCUGUCUCAGCCUCCAGAGCCGCUGAAGAAUUUUCUUGAUAAAG
rnacentral:lncRNA from 1 species